rnacentral:rRNA from 1 species
GAUGAACGCUGGCGGCGUGCCUAAUACAUGCAAGUCGAGCGAACAGACGAGGAGCUUGCUCCUCUGACGUUAGCGGCGGACGGGUGAGUAACACGUGGAUAACCUACCUAUAAGACUGGGAUAACUUCGGGAAACCGGAGCUAAUACCGUAUAACAUGUUGAACCGCAUGGUUCAACAGUGAAAGACGGUCUUGCUGUCACUUAUAGAUGUAUCCGCUCCGCAUUAGCUAGUUGGUAAGGUAACGGCUUACCAAGGCAACGAUGCGUAGCCGACCUGAGAGGGUGAUCGGCCACACUGGAACUGAGACACGGUCCAGAAUCCUACGGGAGGCAGCAGUAGGGAAUCUUCCGCAAUGGGCGAAAGCCUGACGGAGCAACGCCGCGUGAGUGAAGAAGGUCUUCGGAUCGUAAAACUCUGUUAUUAGGGAAGAACAAAUGUGUAAGUAACUAUGCACGUCUUGACGGUACCUAAUCAGAAAGCAACGGCUAACUACGUG